CCUACGGGUGGCAGCAGUAGGGAAUAUUGCACAAUGGGGGAAACCCUGAAGCAGCAACGCCGCGUGGAGGAUGAAGGUUUUAGGAUUGUAAAGUCCUUUCGUUAGAGAAGAUUAUGACGGUUUCUAACGAAUAAGCAGCGGCUAACUCCGUGCCAGCAGCCGCGGUAAUACGGAGGGUGCAAGCGUUACGCGGAAUGACUGGGCGUAAAGAGUGCGUAGGCGGGGUAAUAAGUCUGAUGUGAAAUCCUGUAGCUUAACUACAGAACUGCAUUUGAAACUGUUACUCUGGAGUGUGGGAGAGGUAGGUGGAAUUCUUGGUGUAGCGGUGAAAUCCGUAGAGAUCAGGAGGAAUACUCAUGGCGAAGGCGGCCUGCUGGAACAUUACUGACGCUGAUGCACGAAAGCGUGGGGAGCAAACAGGAUUAGAUACCCUUGUAGUC
rnacentral:rRNA from 1 species